GAUGAACGCUAGCGGCAGGCCUAAUACAUGCAAGUCGAGGGGCAGCAGGAGUAGCAAUACUCGCUGGCGACCGGCGCACGGGUGCGUAACACGUAUACAAUCUGCCUUUAACAGGGGGAU
rnacentral:rRNA from 1 species